AUUGAACGCUGGCGGCAGGCCUAACACAUGCAAGUCGAGCGAGCGGCGGACGGGUGAGGAAUGCCUAGGAAUCUGCAUGGUAGUGGGGGAUAACUACUGGAAACGGUAGCUAAUCCCGCAUACCAUCAGCUUUGCCCCGAGGGGAUGAGCUAGUAGGUGGGGUAACGGCUCACCUAGGCGACGAUCCCUAGCUGGUCUGGGAGGAUGACCAGCCACACUGGAACUGAGACACGGUCCAGAGUCCUACGGGAGGCAGCAGUGGGGAAUAUUGCACAAUGGACGCAAGCCUGAUGCAGCCAUGCCGCGUGUGUGAAGAAGGCCUUCGGGUUGUAAAGCACUAUCAGCGGGGAGGCGGUACCCGAAGAAGAAGCACCGGCUAACUCCGUGCCAGCAGCCGCGGUAAUUC
rnacentral:rRNA from 1 species